GCCUCUGUAGUUUAGUGGUAAAAUAUCCGCCUUCCAAGCGGAUGCCCCGAGUUCGAUUCUCGGCAGAUGCA